rnacentral:rRNA from 1 species
AUCGAACGCUGGCGGCAUGCCUAACACAUGCAAGUCGAACGGCCUCGCCGGCGUCGGUCUCGCGCCGGUUGGCGAACGGUUGGGUAAUACCUCUGAACUUACCCUGACGUGGGGGAAAACUUGCUGAUAGAUUAUCUAAUACCGCAUACGAACUGAGGGUGAAAGUGGGGGACCGCAAACGGCCUUAUCUAGCUGGAGCGGUCGAUGUCUGAUUAGCUGGUGGGUGGGGUAAAGGCUGACCAGGGGGCCGGCCACAAGCGGGCCUGAAGGGGAGACCAGCCACACUGGGAGUGAGAAACGGCACAGACACCUACAGGGGGCAGCAGUGGGGAAUUUUGGACGAUGGGGGCAAGCCUGAUCCAGCAAAGUCGGGUGUGUGAAGAAGGACUUAGGGUGGUAAAGCACUGUUGGCCGGAAGGAAAUCGCACUCUUUAAUACCUGGCGUUGAUGACGGUACCGGAAGAAUAAGCCCCGGCUAACUACGUG